UACGUAGGGUGCGAGCGUUGUCCGGAAUUAUUUGGGCGUAAAAGAGCUCGUAGGCGGUGUGUCACGUCGGCCGUGAAAAACCUGCAGCUUAACUGUGGGCGUGCGGUCGAUACGGGCAUCACUGGAGUUCGGCAGGGGGAGACUGGAAUUCCUGGUGUAGCGGUGAAAAUGCGCAGAUAUCAGGAGGGAACACCGGUGGCGAAAGGCGGGCGACCCUGGGGUCGAUACUGACGCUGAGGUGCGAAAAGCGUGGGGGGAGCAAAACAGG
rnacentral:rRNA from 1 species